rnacentral:rRNA from 1 species
GAUGAACGCUGGCGGCAUGCCUAAUACAUGCAAGUCGAGCGAACAGACGAGGAGCUUGCUCCUCUGACGUUAGCGGCGGACGGGUGAGUAACACGUGGAUAACCUACCUAUAAGACUGGGAUAACUUCGGGAAACCGGAGCUAAUACCGGAUCAUAUAUUGAACCGCAUGGUUCAAUAGUGAAAGACGGUUUUGCUGUCACUUAUAGAUGGAUCCGCGCCGCAUUAGCUAGUUGGUAAGGUAACGGCUUACCAAGGCAACGAUGCGUAGCCGACCUGAGAGGGUGAUCGGCCACACUGGAACUGAGACACGGUCCAGACUCCUACGGGAGGCAGCAGUAGGGAAUCUUCCGCAAUGGGCGAAAGCCUGACGGAGCCACGCCGCGUGAGUGAUGAAGGUCUUCGGAUCGUAAAACUCUGUUAUUAGGGAAGAACAAAUGUGUAAGUAACUAUGCACGUCUUGACGGUACCUAAUCAGAAAGCCACGGCUAACUACGUG